AACUUAAAUGAAUUGACGGGGCCCGCACAAGCAGCGGAGCGUGUGGUUUAAUUCGAUGAUACGCGAAGAACCUUACCUGGUCUUGACAUGCACGUGGUACUGAUUCGAAAGAUGAGGGACCCUUCGGGGAGCGUGCACAGGUGUUGCACGGCCGUCGUCAGCUCGUGCCGUGAGGUGUUGGGUUAAGUCUCGCAACGAGCGCAACCCCCGUCGCCAGUUGUAUUUUUCUGGCGAGACUGCCGGGAAAUCCCCGGAGGAAGGAGGGGAUGAUGUCAGGUCAGCGUGGCCCUUACGACCAGGGCUACACACACGCUACAAUGGGUGGUACAGAGGGUCGCGAAGCCGCGAGGUGGAGCUAAUCCCACAAAGCCAUCCUCAGUUCGGAUUGCAGGCUGAAACUCGCCUGCAUGAAGCCGGAGUUGCUAGUAACCGCAGGUCAGCACUACUGCGGUGAAUACGUUCCCGGGCCUU
rnacentral:rRNA from 1 species